UCCCAAAGCUAGACUUCUAAGGAAAAGUAACUUGCCAGUCCCCUUAAAAUAUGUAACUAAAAGCUAUCUACACUUUUAUAUUUUAAAUAUAUUGUUGGGGCUUCAUUUCAAAUUGGUAUACUGUAAAACUGUUUCAGAUAGCUUUAAAUCCAAGGCAGUGGCUUUCAAACUCCUUUGACAGCAACUUACAAAAAAAAAAAAUGAAAUAAUUUUUAUAUAAACCACUAUACAGACACACACACACACAAAACUAAUACAAAAGUUUUAUGAAACUUUACUUCCCCUUAUUACAUGUGAUACCCUCUAAUAUUAUCUACUCCAUUUUGUUUCAUUGUUUAUUAAGUGCUUGUCAUAAUCUAGUCACAUAGGUCAGGACGUGCAGUUUGAAAAACACUCUUCUCAAAUUAUGGAUUCCACGUACUCUAGCUGGUAGUCUCUUGUCCAGAUUUUUAAAAGGCUCAUCAAAAAGCAGGAUUUGCUAAAGGAACUUCAGUCCCCAUUACAGCACUGUCUUUGGGAUUCCUACCAUAAGUUUCCAGAUGAAUAAGCAGCUUUUCCUUUGCAGAAUUGUGAUGUAAGUUCAAGAGCAAGUGCACAGGACGUAAAAUAAGAAUAGAGUUGAAAAAGGAGGAACAUCUCCAAAUGCAAUGUGUGUCCCUCUGGAAAACAUAAAGCAGCCUAGAGUGAGGUGAGGGAGACAAAACAGAAAAAAAAACUAACAGAGAAAAGAUCAAGCUUGCAGCAUCAUAUCUCCAGGCUUUGCAAGGUGCACUUGUACUUUCAACCCCAUGAGACAGAGUGAUGUUCAGCAUGACUCCACUAAUCAUGUGGCCUUGAGUAUCUCAGCAGACAUCAGUUAAGUCAUUUAAAAGGAUAACUGCAACUUAAAUUAGUUCAUCCUAUUUAUGCAAAAAUGGUAAAUUCAAAUAAGCAAGGUAAUUUGCUUCUAUUUAUUUCAAUUUUAAAAUUUUUUUAAUCACUUGGCAUCUCAAAUCAAAGCAAAUGGGUAAUAUUAUCAAUUAUAUCUUAAAUACGUAAACAUAUGAACUGAUUUAAAACUCUUAUUUGAUAUGCACUUGUUAACAUUUGCACUAGAGUAGGGAACCACAUUCAAGACUUAAAACUUAAAACAGGGUCAUGUCCUUGAAAACAAAAGAACGUCGUCAGAAAAGCCCCCUUGUGAGAAUCUAGCAACAGAGUGAGUCCCUAAAAUCUGUUAAGCUAUUCCACAGGGAAAGUAUGGUAGAUCACACUAGUAAAGGCAAAACUGUGGAAGCUUAUGAAAUAUUUAUCAAGGGAAAUGUUUGAUAAAUAAUAAAAAUAUUCAGUUUUAGGAAGGAGUAUGAUGAGCUUCAACAUGGUUGCACUUAUGAGCACAGAACUUUCAUAGGAAAGAAAGAAGUAGAAAUUUAUUGAGUAUGUUUUGUCAGGCAUCACUAAAUACUUUCAAAUACAUUAUAGCAUUGGAAACUGGGAAUCAGAGAUGUUAAGUAACUUGUCCUAGGUCACACAGUGAUAAAUGACAGAGCUAGAAUUUAAACUUGAUCUUCUAAUUACACAUCAGUUUUUUUUCACGUUGAUAAUCAUUUUAUCCUGAAGCAGUACUCCAGAUAUGAUAAUGCUUAAAAUAUUUGCUUAAGCAUUUCCUAGGAUUUCUGAUCAAGGUGAAUUCAGAUUUCAGUUUCAAGGCUAAUGAAUGAUAAAGUGAUCUUUAAAAUAAAGAAAAUAGAUUAUAAAUAUGCAUGCAUUCUGAGUGGCAUAUGAAUCUCUCAAACAUUUGAUGAAGUGUUCUUCACGUCUCAUGUAAGGAUGAAAGAAAUUAUCUAUUGUGUAACAAACCACACCAAAGUGUAGUAGCUUAAAACAGGAACUUUUUUUUUUUUAAAGAUUUUAUUUUUUCCUUUUUCUCCCCAAAGCCCCCCAGUACAUAGUUGUAUAUUCUUCGUUGUGGGUCCUUCUAGUUGUGGCAUGUGGGACGCUGCCUCAGCGUGGUUUGAUGAGCAGUGCCAUGUCCGCGCCCAGGAUUCGAACCAACGAAACACUGGGCCGCUUGCAGCGGAGCGUGCGAACUUAACCACUCGACCACGGGGCCAGCCCCAAAACAGGAACUUUUUAUUGUCUCUUAUUGUUCUGUGGGUUGGCUGUGGUUGGCCUGACAGUUCUCUCCUGGGGUCUCUUAGGAAGUGCAGUCAGAUGUCAGCUGGGACUGCGAUCAUCUAUAGGCUCAACUGGGCUGGACUUCAAGAUGGUUCACUUCUAGGAUGGCAGGGGAUGCUGGCUAUCUUACUUGGGGCUGCCAACUUGAGGGCCUACAUGUGGCCUCUUUAUGUGACUUGGGCUUCUCUCAAAGUGAUGGCUGGGUUCCAAAAGAAAGCAUCCCAGAAGAAAUGUUCCAAAAGACCUAGGCUUCUUAUGGCUUAGCUUCAAAAGUCCCAGAAACUCUCUUCCACAGCACUCUGUUGGUUGAGCCAGUCACUGAGGCCUAGGCAGAGGGACGUAGACUCUGCCUUUUGAUAUGAGAAGCAGCAGGCAAUAAGGGAGGGAGGGAGACUGCCCAUCUCACCUUAGUCUUUAGCCUCCCAUCCUGGCAUCUCUACUUUAUGCAACUGAGUUAGAAGGGGAAAUAUAUAAUACAACUACAAUAACACAAAUUAUUGUGUGGUGUUUUCCUAUUUUUUUGGCACUGUCUCUUUCUCUGGAAGCACAGCCCUUCUUAAAUGAAUGAAUAAAUGAAAGUCUCUGGUCCUCCCCUUCCCAUUCUACUCUUUUGUUCCCUCGUUGCCUCUCUUCUGUUUUCUAUCCUUCUUUCUAACUGAAGAUAAAGGGUGUAAAAACAUUUUUUUUUUAAAAGAAGCAAUGUACUCUAAUCAGUUAAUUAACCUUAUGGUUAAUUUCUCCCCAAAUCUACCAUUUGAUAUCUGCCUGACUGAUUCAAUCAUCAUUCUAUAUAGGAAGGUAAUAAGAUAAUUUCUUUAAAUGCAGGCAAAGGAACAAGAGGGAAAAACGGGAAAGAAAAAGUAGGUUACCAAAGGAGGAAGGAAAAUAUAAAUGGGAAGUGAAACAAAUCAGGAAGGUUGAAUGAUAUUAAACCCAAAAGGCUGAAAAAACAAAAGGAAAGAAGCCAGAUUCUCCCCUUAUAAUACUGUGUCCAUCCUGCCUUCCUUUCCAGUCCAUUGCCACCCAUCACUAGCCGAGUCUAACCUUGUUUCUUAAUGCCUGAAUUAUUGCUGUGUCAUCUUACCUACUCUCCCUGCCUACGGUCUUUAUCCUCUUAGAAACCAUCAAAAGCACCAUUUUCCUCAUGGUGCUCCCAAUUUAAACAAAAAGAAAAAAAAGAAACACUAAAUGACUGCUGAAGAAUGAAAUCCAAUAUAAGCAUUUGAAUGAUUUUCAUAAUCUGACCUAACCUUCCUUGCCAUUGUUUCUCAAGUCUUCCCUACAUGAAACUAUUGACUCAACCAGGACGCUCUACUCACUGAAUCCAAAUACACAGAAAAAUGAGCCUAGAUCCCACUGUUUAUUACAUCAUGAAAAAUAUCAAACCUGAAACAAGGAAAAAUAAUUAAUAAACAGCAAAAAUCUGUUUCACAAAGCAGUGUGGCAACAUUGUAAGCUUAUAAUUACAGCACUUGUGGUCCAGAUCACUUCUUAGGCAUACAGCCUUCUUUUUGUCUUCUGUCCUUUGCUCUAACAGAUCCUAUCACCAGGAGUUUUCCCUGCUGCUGUCUGCCUUAGCAAAUCCUGUCUCACCGGAACCCGCAAGAAGUCCUCCUCUUCAUGGAAACUGAUGGUAGUUGAUUAAUCUGGAAGAAGUGUGAUUAGCAGGAUUAUUCUGGAUCUGAAGUACCUUGUUAACACUACAGCAUCUUAUUGGCUUCUCUAUGGAGACCUAAACACUAAAGUUCCAUUUCAGUUUUUACUCUCUAAAUUUGUUGAGUAUACAGUAGUUUAAAGGACCGUUUCACCCCAGUUUGAUAGAUAAUUCAACUAGCAUCCAAUCAUUUGUACAACUUUGAUUUGCAAUAAUUAUGAACAGUAAUUAGAGAAACAGUUAAAAAACACCAUUGCUAAUAUAACUCUGGGAGCAUGAUAUAAGUGGGCUUUUUAAAAAAUAGGGUAUUUGAAGAUAAUAAUGGGUGCAGUCCAUGAUCAAAGAGAUCUUGUGAUAAGAGAAGUUUAUUUUCAGGUAUAAUUAAAGCUGUAGAUACCAUUUUGAAAGUACAGACUUUAGGGAGCAAGGGAAGAGAGUUUUUGAAGCAUAGUAUAAAUCAGGAAUAAUUUCAUUGAUGAUUAUGAAAUGCCAACAUCCAUUUUAUUAUGAGGAGCUGUCUCCUUUGUAGUUCCAUUGAUUCCAGGAAAGCAUUAGUAUAAGACCAAAGGCAGCUUUGCGACGAAUGCUUUUGAAGGGUAUUAAAGAGUAGAGUGAUUGGCAGUUAGCAAACAUAAAAGUGAACUAAUGAGUGAAUGUUCUGAUCACCCAUAGAAAUUGUACACUUCAAAAUAUCUUAUUGAAAAAACUAAUUUUCGUUUUCACGUCCAAUGUUGAAUGUGCAUGCAGUUGUUUUUAUUGUUUAAUCUAUUUUCAUUUAAAACUGGGUAAAACUAAACUUUUUGGAGCAGUUUACAAAGGUGAUAAAAUUAUAACAAAAAGUAGGUUAUCAGAACAGGAGAGUGGAGGCUUCUGGGGCACUAUCAGUGUUUUGUGACUUGACACGGGUGGUAGUUCAUUUUCCUUGUUUAUUUUUUAUGCAUUUUACUGUUCAUGAAGCAGUUAUGUAGAAAACCCACUGAUAGUAGUGCCCCGUUCACCUUCAAGACUUUAUUAGCCCACGGGUGUCAAUUACUGCCAUAAUCUGGGCUUUGCUCACGUUCCCUUUUGCCCAUAUGAAGUGGUUGUACAUUAAGAGAUGACUUCUUGGGGCCAGCCCAAGUGGCCUAGUGGUUAAAUUCAGUGUACUCUGCUUUGGCGGCCAGGGUUCCGGGGCACAGACCUACGUCACUCAGCAGUGCCCAUGCUAUGGUGGCAGCUCAGAUAGAAGGAGAAAAGGGGGAAGAUUGGCAACAGAUGUUAGCUCAUGGCAAAUCUUCCUCCACAAAACCAAAAAGAGAUGACUUCUUGUUAUAGAAGAAAUAGUGAGCGUGGUCUGGCCCUCGGUGAUAUUUCAAAACAGUCCUAUGAAUGGACAUGAGAAGAGGUCCUUCUUCUGCCAAGGAUCAAGUCUUAUACUUUGUGUUAUUUAAAGUACCUGAUGCAGUGCUACAAAACUAGUGUGUAUUCAUGCAUUCAUUUGACAGAUAUUUAUUGACUUACCUACCACUUGAAUCCUUGGAAAACUAGAGCAGUUUGCCAACUAAUAUAGUUAAAUGAUAGUUUAUAAGUGCUAUAUAGACACUAGAGAUUCAGCAGUUUCUCCUGCCUAUCAGAUUUAUUUUGGCUAGUGGAUAUCACUCUCACUCUCAUUGAAGUCUUAGAAAGGGAUUCUAGAAGAGGAUUGACCAGUUAGAAGGUGGAGACUUAAUAAAAAUGGAAAGAGUCAAAGACAGGAGGGAUAAAAGCAGCAGAGGAAGAAGGAGGCAGAGACUGGACAGCCAGCAAGUCCUUAGUGCCCUGUACAGUUUAAGUUGAGUCACGUAUUCUUCCUGUUUUCUUGUUAGAUCCUUCCUCUUGCCCAUGAACCCACCUGGAGGAGUCAAGCCCAGCAUGGAUGCCAGUGAGUUGGGUCAAAGCCAGGGAAAGGUCCUGGGAUCAAGAACUGGAUGAGUAGAGUGAAAAUUUCUGAUCAGCCAGAAGUAGAAAGAGCCAGAAGAUAAACCAAACCCAUUUUCCAAGGAGUGCCAAAGGUGAAAAGCAGGAAAGCCAAAAUACUCAUCAAGACCAAAGGGGGAGCACAGAGCCAGAAGCUGGGAGGAGAAAGGGAGUCAAGAAAGUCAAUGCCAGCUCAAAGGAGGAUUUUUUUCUAUGAGGUCCACACUUGAUAUUCUGAGUCAGAAGUCCUCUCCUCAAGGAGGGUAUCGACUCUGAGGCCAACAGUCACGCCUGUGCUCUCUCAGAGAGGAGCCUGUAUCCUGGGACAGAGCUCAGACUCCAGUCGCUGCUCAGAGGCUCAGCCCUGCUCUCCUGAUCUGCCCAACACACAGGAAGCCUUCGUCAAGUGAUACCUGAAAUGGGAAUGUGACUCAUGAUCAAGUGCUGGGAACUCUUUUCUCCUGCACAGAUCCCAAACUCUAAAUAACCCGAUCCAGGAGUGCAGAAUCACUGAGUUUGGGAUCUUAUCCUGGAAUCCUUCACCCCUCUCGGUGGACUGUGAACUUCCUAGGGAAACAUUCCAGGCUGAACCCCUAGCCCUGCCCAGCCUAUUCCCCUAGAAGGAUGCUAUUCUAUCCUCUACUCAGACUUUCCAUCUUAGGUGUCUCUCUGAGCCAACUAAACUCAUUUUAAAAUAUGAGAAUAGAGAUAGAAACAGCAAUAAAGAGUCCUUGUUGGGGGCUUGCUGAGAGUUCCUUACCUUUUGGAAGUCUUUGGUUUUCCAGAAGGUUGGUAAAGUUGGAAUCCCCACCAGGUAGCCCAGGAACAGAAGGAGCAACCCCAACCCACAUAGGAAGGUGAGGUUGGAAUGAGUAUCCAGGAAUGUUGACCCAAAGCUCAGACAUGACUCAAUAGGGCUAUUCAGAAAUGAGAGAAAAGUCCCUUGUCUGAACUCCAUUGUCUGAAUCACAAGGCUACCUGAGGGAACUGGGCUCUGAGGGUGCAGUCAUUUGACUAUAGUCCCAGGCCUGCAUUACAGAGCAUUGAAGUGUCACAAAGAGUUUUAGAGUGUGGGGGAGGGGACAGCAUGAAGAGGGGUACCCACAGCCCCUUCCCCACCCCCCAGACUGGCAGAUCUCUCCACCCCUCCUGGGCCCUCUCUGUCCUUCUAUACCUUGCCUGUCAUCCUGUUUUCCAGCUCCACCCUUUCAUCAUAUCAUAUAUUUACUUCAAUGAAAUUUUCUGCUUCUUUCAUCUGUACCCCAGAUAUCACCUGGGUCCUCCUUUACUCUUUGGAGAACUUGACUUGGGUCUCACCAAUUCUACUGCCUUGAAAGUCUGAAAUGCUGCCUGGAAUUUUUGCCUGUCCCGAGACAUUUACACUCAGGAUCAUAUAUGGCCUCAAAUUCAUCUUCCCUAUAGAAUGUUUUUGCCUUACAUGAAUCCAGAUAUAGAACUUAAAGUUCUACACUUAUUUAGCUUUGUGAAUAUUCAAUAGCAAAUUUUAGUUUUUUGCUUCAGUCAACCUUUAUCAUUGUCAAUCAGAGAGGCUGACUCAAAUAAUUAAAAUGAGUAAUUCCUUAUUCAACAUUUGCAAAACUAAAAUCAGUACAGAUGUAUGUCGCUUAACAAUGGGGAUAUGUUUUGAGAAAUGCCAUUAGGCAAUUUGAUUGUUGUGUGAACAUCAUAGAGUGUACUUACACAAACCUAGAUGCUGUAGCCUACUAUACACCUAGGCUCUAUGGUAUUAGUCUUAUGGGACCACCAUGGUAUAUGUGGUCUGUUGUUGACCAAAAUAUGGUUAUGAGGCACAUGACUAUAUGGGCGACAGAGCAGGAGCAUUGGUGAUGUGGAAGUGAAGUUUCCCAGGUGGCUAGUUCCUCAGUUUUGCUUCUGUUGCCUCCUCUAGAAAUUAAAGUCAUUUUGAAAAUAAUGGCAAUGGUUGUGCUAUGGACUGUAGCUCAAUCUGUUUGGACUUUGGUUUCACAAUAAAACAGAGAGUACUUUUCUCCCUAACCUCUAGGACGUUGAAGUUUAAUGCCAUCAUGAGGGACAGUGCAGUGACCUUUGGGAGAUAAGUUGCUCUGUCAUACAAGCUGAGCCAGUAGCAUUCUCGCCCCAAAGCCUUUGUAUUUAAAUGGACUUCUCUAAUCAACUUUCCAGAAACAAGUUGUUUUUGUAAGACCAGGAUUUCAUUAGAACAUCAGUGUAUCUAAUAGUAAAAUGGUACUUUCUGAUCUUCUAUCACAUUUUCUAGACUCUUUAUUUGCCCCAC
rnacentral:lncRNA from 1 species